GAAUUGUGUGUCCACAUGGCAAUAUAGUCACAUAAUAUCUCAACUCAAAAUAAAAACUGCAGGUAAUCAUUUGAAUUGUAAUUGCAGAGUUAGGUGCUAGCCAUUGUCCAAAUGCACUUCUAUAAUAGCCAUGAAAAGAGGUAAGAGAGUUAUAAUCUACCUCAAAACAAGCAGGGCAGUCAUGGUGCAUUGCCCCCAGUACACAUGGAUGGCUGCCUUUCAGAAUAAUUGAGUAGCAGCAGCCUUCAUAGAAUGCAAAGAAAGCAGAAAAACUCACCAUAUUAAUCAUGCCAUAGCAGCUUAAGUUCAAAAUUUACCUGCAACUUCUAUAGGUGAGCCCUUUGCUGUCAAUGAUGCAUUGCUACAAAGAAUACCUUGUAUAUGAUGGAAGUGACUCCUACUUUGACUAGAUUAUGCUAGACCAUGGCUCUUGACAUUUCUUUGAAAAAAAUACAGCAGCUUCUCAAAUUUAUGUGCUUUAUUUGUCAAAAAAGAAAAAACACAGCAACUCCUUAAAUUUACAGCAGCAAAAUUGCAAUGAAAGUUCUGAGAGGAAAAAAAUACAAUAGCUUCUCAAAUUUGCAUAGAGCAAUUAAUUAUGCAAUUGAUAAUUGAUAAUUCUUGGAACUGUUGUGAUAAUUUGAGCUUCAUGAUGCCAUGUAUUUGCUAGGCAGGCGGAACAUGCAUCUUCCCAUGGAUGAAGAUCCAGCACAAGAUCUUGGACCUCAGGGAAAACUGAUAUAAGUAUUUGUUCAAGUAUUGCAUAUGCAAGUUGCUUUAUGCAUAUAGUAGACUACAAUUUCCAAGAGAUUGUACCAGUAGGUUCAAGUUAUAUUAUAAAAUAAAAUGCAUAAAAAAAGAUUGGGGAUAAAAAGAUUUUACAACACAGCUCAUCAUAUAAAAACAGCAAAAAGCUAGAUAAAAUUUCACUUAUUAUGCAAAGUGUUUCUUCCUUUGCUUAUUUUUCCUAGUUACCAUUUCUUCUCUAAAACAACAUCAAACUUCCAACACAAUUUAAGGGUAGCAAAGAAAGUGCACACAAGCAUGCUAGCAUGCAUGUAUAUACAACAAAGAGAGACCAAUUGAAAAAUUGAGGAUAACAUCCAAAUUAAAAAAAAAAGAGCUGAGAUAAAUAACUCACAAGUCACAACUGCAAAUAAAAUAAAUAUAUACCUAUUUAGGAUAUUGGAGGUGAAAAGCAAUUCAAUGAGUAAACUAAAAUGAUACGACAAUCAAGGACACAUACACAUACCUGCCAGAGUUCAUAUAAUUGAGGAAGAUUUCCCAAAGGAGUAAUUCUUCUAAAACGAAAGAGAAAAAAAUAUAAAAUAAUAGAAUCAUUCAUCUUACUAAAUGAAAAAAUAAGGUAGAGGAAAAAAGAGAAUGAAAAUAUGUUCAAGCAAAAUCUAUGGCAAUAAAUAUCAAGAUGUCAACAGAAUUCACACCUUGGAGGAAACAAAUAGGAAAUCCCAUACUUCAUGCUGUUCAGCAACAUUAGCUAUAGAGAAAAGAUCCUGGAAAAGGCAGCAUAAUUAGAGCAGCAGAAAAUAGAGUAAUCUAAAGAAGAAAAAUAGAGCAUGUGAUAAAACUUGUAUUUGGUGAAAAGAAAUUGUAAUUGCCACAUCUGAAAAGAAAUACAGUAGAGGUUCUUUUAUAUAUCCGUAUAGCUGAGCUGGAACUAAUAGGGUUCAAGAAAGGAAAGAGAUGUUUAUCACCGAUGUGUUGUCCAAUCAUGCAAGGUAUGAACUGGAUUGGUCAUCAAGAAAGAAAAAAGGGUAAAUGAUAAAACUU
rnacentral:misc_RNA from 1 species